CAGCAAGCAGCCUCGGCAAGCUGAGCCUUUUUUUAAGACUUUUUUUUGUUCUGACUGAUGCUCCUUCCCAAAGGUUAGUUUCUUCAACACUGGAAAUUCUCCAAUGCUUAGCUUGCACUUGAUGGCAGGAACAGCUAUAUCCUCCCUUGAAACCUAUGGGGCUGUAUCCACGUGGAACCCCAACCCACCCUUGCCUCUUGUAACCACCUAGUCUUAUGCCCUAAAUACCAGACCUGGAGUUGGGCUCCAAUCCAGCCAAUAAACAUCCCCUGCCAGAGCAGGCUUUUCUUCACCAGCCAGGAGGAGCACUAUUGUGCCCCAAUUCAGACGGCCCUGGCACUGCCCUAGUGUGUAAAGAAUCCCAUUUUUUCAUUCAUCAGCCAAGAAGGUUGGUGUUCCAAGGUGUCCCAGGAGGGGACAUGCCUGCUGGGGAUGUAAGCCCUCAUCACUGCCCCAUCCUCACUCCCCAUAGGCCUCUCAUUCCUUUCUUUGAAGGGGGGCUCAGCCCUAGGCAGGGCAGUCCUUAAAGGAUACCCCCACAACUGGGCCUGCAGCUGGAAGAGCCUGCUGCAGGAGAAAGCCCCAAGUCCAGGGCACCUGGCACCCCCCCCCCGCCUCCCUCGACCCUGAGCAAGAGGUCUCACACAGCAUAUCCCAC
rnacentral:lncRNA from 1 species